ACUCUGAUGGUGCACGCCGCGUGGAGGAUGACGGUCCUAGGAUUGUAAACUCCUGUCAUUGGGGAGUAAGACUUAAGCGUUAAGAGCGUUUAAGUUUGAUAGUACCCAAAGAGGAAGGGACGGCUAACUUCGUGCCAGCAGCCGCGGUAAUACGAAGGUCCCAAGCGUUGUUCGGAAUCACUGGGCGUAAAGCGUGUGUAGGCUGCGCGGAAAGUCAAAUGUGAAAGCCCGGGGCUCAACCUCGGAACUGCAUUCGAUACUCCCGUGCUAGAGUAAUGGAGAGGUAAGUGGAAUUCCUGGUGUAGCAGUGAAAUGCGUGGAUAUCAGGAGGAACAUCAAUGGCGAAGGCAACUUACUGGACAUUUACUGACGCUCAGACACGAAGGCUAGGGUAGCGAAAGGGAUUAGAUACCCCUGUAGUCCUAGCAGUAAACGGUGCUCGCUUGGUGUGGGAGGAUUCGACCCCUUCUGUGCCGGAGCUAACGCGUUAAGCGAGCCGCCUGGGAAGUACGGUCGCAAGACUAAAACUCAAAGAAAUUGACGGGGACCCGCACAAGCGGUGGAGUAUGUGGCUUAAUUCGAUGCAACGCGAAGAACCUUACCUAGGCUUGACAUGCUUGUCGUACUCUCCCGAAAAGGAGAGGUCACUUCGGGUGGACAAUGCACAGGUGCUGCAUGGCCGUCGUCAGCUCGUGUCGUGAGAUGUUUGGUUAAGUCCAGCAACGAGCGCAACCCCUGUGAACUGUUGCCAGCGCGUAAAGGCGGGGACUCUGUUCAGACUGCCCAGAUCAACUGGGAGGAAGGUGGGGACGACGUCAGGUCAGUAUGGCCCUUACGCCUAGGGCUGCACACGUACUACAAUGCC
rnacentral:rRNA from 1 species